rnacentral:sRNA from 1 species
UAACACAAAUAUCCUUAAUCAAUUUAUUUGGGAAAGAAAAUAAAGGGUAAAAAUGACUUUGGACCAUUUGCACCAAAAUCGUGCAAAAUUUGGUAUUGCAUUGAAGUAGUUUUGCACUAAUUUUUGGUGCAGUUUGAUGUUUUGGUACCACUAUUGAAGAUGGGGUAAUAUGUACCCUAUGCUACCCUUGAAAUUAAAUGCUAAAAUAAAUUAUAUCUUCAAUAUGUUCCUUAAUGAGCAUGUCUGUACAUAUUUUGACGUUCGAAACUUGAUACGGGCACACAUUUAUAAGUAGGUGACAAUUCAAGAUGAAUGACCUCUAUUUAUUAUGAUAUUCUAUCGAACUAUUUCUUGGAAGUGUUAAACGUAGACAAACUUAGUGCUUGUUUGGUAAGAAUUUUAUUAAUUGAUUUUUUAACCGUUAGAAGUAAAGUAGGUCCUACUAUGAGAGAAGAAUUCAAAAACGACGGCUGAAAUAGUGAAAUAACUGUCAAAAGAUUGAUUUUAAUUGAAUUAUAAUCUCUACCAAACAUGUUGUAUUCAUUAAAAUUAUGUUUUUAACCCAAAAAAGUGAAUAACUCUUCAUAUAUUUUAAUAUGAGUUGGGACUUAAUAAAAGAAUAAUACUGUGGUCCUAUUUGAGUCGCAUUCUUUCAAAAAAUAUAUUUUUAUACAGUGAUUUGACAUCAUUUUAAUCACAUAUUUUUUAAUAAAAUAAUAUUAUACUUAAAUUCAAAACUUUUCCUUAUUUUUUAACCACACAUUCUUAUCACUCAACUAUUUUAAAAUAUAUUCUGUCAAAAUAAUAUGGCUCAAACACACUAUAUUUCAAAUUUUCUCUUGCGUCCUCUUCAAAGCUUUUUUUAAAGGAAAAGAGAGAAAAUUAUCAAGUAAUAAAUAAUGGUGGCCUUGUUCCCCAAUAAUUUAAUUGAAGUGGGGGCAAAUGCAAUUAAAUAAAGUUAUCCAUGGAGAGUAAUCACGAGUCCUCAAAAACACUUGGUUGCCUAGUCAUGCCUAUCCAUCCACUUUCUGCUAGCUGGAUUCCUCUCUCUCCCUCACGUGUCACCCUCCAAACCCUACCCCUGCCCCAAUUCCCACCCUGCGCCACCACAAUUGACCUUUUAGAAUUGCCGGAGAUACAAAAGCCCGGCGGUAGAUUCUGCAACUCCUUUUUUUUUUUUUUGUCCCAUUUUUUUUCUUUCCCGGAAUUAGAUGAAUUAAGACAGAAUUAAUGUUGUCUUGUUUUGAUGUGCAGAUUUUUCGGUUUUAUCUUCGUACCAGUACAAAGCUAUACAAUUAACCCUGAGGAUUCUUCU